rnacentral:lncRNA from 1 species
GCGGCCUCAGCUGACAAAUUGACUGCAAUUUCAUGAAAAUCUCCUUGACAGAACCACCAAGGUAAUCCUCUCUCAAAUUUCUGAUCCAAAGAAACUAUAAAAUUUUGAAAUGUUCAUUAUUUAUUAAUAUUUAUUGCCACUAAGGGGUGUGUGUGUGUGUGUGUGUGUGUGUGUGUGUGUUUGAGACGAACUCUUGUCCCCCAGGCUGAAGUGCAAUGGCACAAUCUUGGCUCACUGCAACAUCUGCCUCCUGGGUUCAAGUGAUUCUCCUGCCUCAGCCUCCUGAAUAGCUGUGACUACAAGCACCCAGCACCACGCCCGGCUAAUUUUUGCAUUUUUAGUAGAGAUGGGGUUUCACCGUGUUGCCAGGCCCAUCUUGAACUCCUGACCUCAAGUGAUCUGCCCACCUCAGCCUCCCAGAGUGCUGGGAUUACAGGCAAGAGCCACUGUGCCCAGCCUGGAGACCUUUUUGAUUGUUGAGUUCUAGGGGGGAAAGUGCUACUAGGCAAGUAAUGAGUAGAGAUCAGAAAGGCUGUAAGCUUCCUAUAAUCCACAGAAUAGCCUCCCUAGAACAAAGACAUACCCUGUCAGAAAUGUCAAUAGCCAGGUGCAGUGGUGUGCACUUGCAGUCCCAGAUACUCAGCAGGCUGAGGCAGGAGAACCACUUCAGUCUAGGAGCUUGGGGCCAGCCUGGGCAACAUAGUGAGUCUCUAGCUCUAAAAAAAAAAAAAAAAAGUCAAUAAUACCAAAGCUGAAAAACCCUGGUUUGGUACAUAUAAACCUAGGAAGACAAAUAGGGUUCUGAAAGAUCAAUUGUAUUAAUAUUUUCAACAGUGACCCAACUGGUAAGGCAGACAACAUGCUGAGGGAAUGGAGACAAAAAGCUUCUGCAAAAUCAGCCAUUCCCAUCUCUUUGCUAUCUUAGCAUUUUAUCAUUAUUAUAGAUUUGAAAAAACAUCUAUAAUGUAAAAUGUAUUAUAGUUAUUUGUGUUUUAUCCACUAAAUUGUGAGCAGUCUUAACUGUUAAUCCCUGGUGGCUUGGUCCUCAGCAGGUUUUUGUCGAUUGUAUAAUAUCAGAUAGGAAAAUUGGCUACGAAUUAGACUAUUGCUCAAAAGUACAAAUUGGAAGAAGUUUUUAACCCUUUGCUCACAAACCCCCAAAAAACUCUGUAAUUAUGGUAAAUAGUUGAUUGAAAAAUAGAACCAAAAGGUAAAAGAGUAAGAAUUUGAAAACCUACACAAGGCCAGGAAUGAUGGCCCACACCUGUAAUACUAGCACUUUGGGAGGCCAAAGUGGGAGGAUCGCUUGAGGCCAGGAGUUUGAGGCUAGCCUGGGCGACAUGAUGACAGCCUGUCUCAAAAAAA